rnacentral:lncRNA from 1 species
GGCACCCCAGAAUAGCCUGGCAGUAUAUAUGUUAUGUGUUUGUAUGGUAUGCGGUACGUUGGGGGAACUCACUAAGCUUUGUGCUUACGUUUACAGUUUUGUUUUCAGGUACCUCUGCAUCGAAGGGGAAGGAGCCGGCGCGGUAGCGGCACGUCAUACACACACUCUUCGGUUUCCGCAUUUAUGAGAUUUACUGGGAUUGUACUCUGAUAUUUGAUGGGAUGUACGGUUUGGCUUUUGAGAACAUGGUUGCAAUGUGUUAUGGUGUGAACAAACAAUGUUUCUUUUUAUUUAGACAAUGUUUUUAUUUAUUAAUGUUUUCUAAAGUAAUAUCAAAAAAAAAAAAAAUUUUGGGUCGUUACAAGUUGGUAUCAGAGCCCUGGUUUGAGGGAUUCGGACACGCCUUCGGGAGUGUUUGGACUCAAACCGAGGGAUUGAAAGAUUUUUCCAAAAGAAAUUAUUCUUUAAAACCCGGAAAAGAGUCACGAGAAAGAGUAAAGUGUGUGACGUGCGCGACCGGCCGAGCUCAAGUAAGUAUUCCCCAUAGUACCCAUACAAGUUUAUGUUAUGUUUAUCAGCUUUAUGAAUAUUGCAUGCUAGAAUAGGCUAAGGAUCUAGGAGUGAUGCCUUAUGUGCCUGUUUAUUUGUUACAGCUUAUUGAAUAUUGCAUGCUAGAAUUGAGUAGACAGCAGUAGGGUAGCCUGUUUAGGUUAUGCCUGAUAGUAUGAGCUUAGCAUCCUAUGUUAAGUGUCGUUUCUUGUUCUAAGAACAGUUUUGGCUUGAGUCUGUUUUUCCUUAUCCGAAUGCUGCUUGCUUCGUGCUCGGUGGGAUUCUGAGUAAUGGGAGUGAGCCACUAGGUAAACACGUCACACCACAUGUAAUCGGGGUUGAAUAAUCCCAAAGUGUUGGAACUGGCCCUAUUGCGCAGCUCUUGUUUGAGUCCAACCGUUGUAGGGACGGGCCUUUUACUUGAAGGAUGAUCUAAUCCUCAUCACAGGUGGUGGUGUUUAGGUGGUGGCUAACUGGCAUUAUGAGGAGACCUACAGCAGCUGAGGACCAGUUGUGUUGAACUUGAGUUCUCCCUAGGGCAAGCCUAGGGUGAGAAUAUCGGAGAGUAGCAGUAGUAGAGGGGAGUUGGUGGAGUCGAGGAAUUCCUCGGAGAAGGUACGGAUAGAUGUGGAAGGUAGUAUGGGCCCGUACUACUGAAAGCAGAGGAUCCGUACCCGAGCCGAGGAAGGCCAAGACGAGACCAAGGAACCUGUAAGUAGUUGAGAUCCCUCAGAAAGUAGCAGUACCACUAAUGAUUAUUAUUGAUGUUUUGCAGAAUGGUGGUACUUCGACCGAGACCGACAGAUGGCGGGUCAGGAGAGGGGUCAGGUUCGGGAUCUGGCACCGAGCCGAUUGAGGAGAGGCUACGUGAGUUCAUCACGUCGGAGAUCACUAGGGGCAUCCUUGAGUCGACCCCCAUCAUCUUUGGGUCGAUCAAGGAAGGGAUCGUGGAGAUGAUGGAGGAUCGCCUACGGGCAUUCAGGAGCGACUUGGCCUCUAGCCAGUCAGGAUCUCGCACACUGUCCUUCAAGGACUUCAGGAGCAGUGGUGCGCCGGAUUUCCAUGGGGUGAAGGACCCCAUUGUCGCCAGGCGGUGGAUUGCGGAUAUCGAGUCCGCCCAGUUGAUCAGCUUCUGCCCCGAGGGGUCGAAGGUGAGGUACGCAGCAGGGUGUUUACGGGACCGGGCCCGAGAUUGGUGGGAGUCAGUGGGUGACUCGAUGGGAGCCUCGGCUAUCGAGGCAAUGACCUGGUCGGACUUUGUGGCUAGGUUCAGGGCAGAGUUUGCGCCAGCGGUCGAGCUUCAGCAGCUGGCCAGGGAGUUCUUAGACAUGAGGCAGACGACAGAGACCGUGGCGGAGAUCACCGCCAAGUUUCGGGAGAGGGCUUUAUUGGUGCCCCAGUAUGCAGGUGACGAGGAUAUGAGGAGGACUCGUUACCAUGAUAUGCUACGAGCUGACAUUCGGGAGCAUGUUAGUUUUUCGGCUUGCCCUACCCUGGACUCCAUGAUUGCCAGGGCUAGGGAGAGAGAGAUAGAUUUGGAGCACAUCCGGAAACGGAAACUUGAGGAUGGUCAGUCAUCGGGGGCUUCGGGGAAGAAGCCCAAGGGAUCAGAUGGGAGGCCGAAAGGCCAGUCGGGACCGAGCCGCUGCAGGAGGUGCGGCAGGCCGCACGAGGGGGCGUGCAGGAUGGGAUCGUCAGGCUGCUACAAGUGCGGCAAGUUUGGGCAUAUCAGCAGGGAUUGCACUGCUCCUGCGACCGUUAUUCAGACAUCGGAGUUGCUGUGUUUCCACUGCAACCAGAGGGGCCACAAGAAGGCCAAUUGCCCCAUGUUGACAGCUUCAGCGCCAGUGAAGGCGCCAGCUCCAGCGACCCUGCGGAUCACGGAUGGCCGUCAGGGCAAGGCAGAGGCUCCAGUGGUGAGGAGUCGGGCAUUUCAGUUGACUGCCGAGGAGGCACGCGCCGCGCCCGAUGUGGUGACGGGUAUGAUUCCUUCCUUCUAUCUUUUAUUUUACGUUGUUAUGAUAUUGAUAUGUGCUCCGUGUGUAUACAUGUGUAUUAGGAUCGUUCCAUGUGAACGGCAUCCCGGUUCAGGUAUUGUUCGACUCGGGUGCAUCCCGAUCGUUCGUUUCUCUUGCUCUUAGCAAGAGAUUUCAUGAGACUUCAGGCGAGUUAGAUUGCCCGUUAGAGGUAGAGAUUGCCGAUGAUCGAUCGGUGCGAGCAUCGAUGGUGUUUCGAGAUUGUGUCCUGCGACUGUUUGAGGAGUGUUACCUGGUAGACUUGGUUCCCAUUCCAUUGCGUGGGAACAAGGUGAUUAUUGGUAUGGAUUGGUUGAGCCCUAAUGGGGCAGUGAUAGAUUGCGCACAGCAGCUAGUGCGAGUCAAGACCCCAAGCGGGGGAGAGUUAGUGAUUCAUGGAGAGCGGCCGCAGUGUGGACCCACUGUAUGUUCAGCAGCGAGGGCUAGGCGCUACCUUCAGCAGGGAUGCGCGGGUUAUGUCGCGUACGUGAUGGACACCCGGGAGGCGGGUAAGGCGACCGUGAGCGAGGUCCCGGUGGUUCGAGAUUUUGCUGAUGUUUUUCCGGAGGAACUACCUGGGAUACCUCCGGAGCGACAGGUGGAGUUCAGGAUUGACCUCGUUCCCGGUGCGGCUCCGAUAGCCAAAGCACCGUAUCGGUUGGCUCCUCCCGAGAUGCAGGAGUUGUCUACGCAGCUGCAGGAGCUGCUGGACAAGGGAUUUAUUCGGCCGAGCAGUUCGCCCUGGGGAGCCCCGAUUCUGUUUGUGAAGAAGAAGGAUGGGUCGCAUCGGAUGUGUAUAGAUUAUCGGGAGCUGAACAAGGUAACGGUGAAGAACCGUUACCCGCUUCCGAGGAUUGAUGACCUCUUUGACCAGCUUCAGGGCGCAUCUUGGUUCUCCAAGAUUGAUUUGCGUUCGGGUUAUCAUCAGAUGAGGGUCAGGGAGGAGGAUAUGCAGAAGACCGCGUUUCGGACGCGCUAUGGCCAUUACGAGUUUGUGGUGAUGCCGUUUGGGCUCACCAAUGCUCCUGCCGCGUUCAUGGACCUCAUGAACCGUGUAUGCAGACCGAUGCUGGACCGGUCUGUGAUAGUCUUUAUCGAUGAUAUCUUGGUUUAUUCCAAGACCCGGGAGGAACAUGAGGAGCAUUUGAGAGAGGUGUUAGAGACCCUGAGGAGGGAGAGCUUGUAUGCCAAGUUCUCCAAGUGUGAGUUUUGGUUGCGCGAGGUGCAAUUUCUGGGGCACCUCGUCAACCAGAACGGGAUUCUGGUCGAUCCGGCCAAGGUCGAGGCCGUGAUGAGAUGGGAGGUUCCGAAGUCCCCAUCUGAGAUUCGGAGCUUCCUAGGAUUGGCAGGCUACUAUCGGAGAUUUAUCCAGGAUUUCUCCAAGAUAGCCGUGCCCCUGACGCGGCUGACGAAGAAAGCCGUGGUCUUUCGGUGGGGACCCGAGCAGCAGGCUGCAUUUGAGACGCUGAGACAGAGAUUGUGUGAGGCGCCGAUCUUAGCCCUGCCAGAGGGCGUAGAGGAUUUCGUGGUUUAUUGCGAUGCGUCCAUUUCUGGGUUGGGCGCGGUGCUGAUGCAAAGGGGGCAUGUCAUUGCUUACGCUUCGAGGCAGCUCAAGCCUCACGAGGCGAACUACCCGACGCACGAUUUGGAGUUGGGGGCGGUGGUAUUUGCCCUCAAGAUUUGGCGACAUUACCUCUAUGGGGUUCGGUGUACCAUCUACACGGACCACAAGAGCUUGAGGUACCUCAUGGACCAGCCGAAUCUGAACAUGAGGCAGCGUCGGUGGUUGGAUGUGGUGAAGGAUUAUGAUUGCGAGAUCCUUUACCACCCGGGAAAGGCCAAUGUGGUGGCCGAUGCGCUUAGCCGCAAGACGGCGCCGAUCAGGGACGCCUGUUUGAGGAUGACUGUGGUGACUCCCCUGUUGGAGCAGAUUCGGGAAGCUCAACAGGAGGCUAUCAAGGAGGAGCAUCGGAAGAACGAGCGCGUAGUAGGUCAGGUUUCCUCCUUCGAUUAUGAUAGCCGAGGGUUAUUGACACUACACCAUAGGGUGUGGGUGCCGUAUCACGGGGGCGUGCGCCAGAUUUUGAUGGAGGAGGCGCACAAGUCCCGAUUCUCUAUUCAUCCCGGGGCGACGAAGAUGUAUAGGGAUCUUCGUCUAGACUAUUGGUGGCCCUGCAUGAAGCGGGAUGUGGCAUGGUACGUCGAGCGGUGCUUGACCUGCAGGAAGGUCAAGGCCGAACAUCAGAGGCCGCAUGGCAAGAUGCAGCCGUUGGACAUUCCACUGUGGAAGUGGGAAGAUAUCACGAUGGAUUUUAUCACGAAGCUUCCCAGGACCGCGCGUGGAGUGGAUUCGAUUUGGGUCAUCGUGGAUAGAUUGACCAAGAGUGCUCACUUUAUUCCGAUUCCGGAGAGCAUAUCGGCCGAGAAAUUGGCCGACAUCUAUAUCAGGGAGAUUGUGGCACGGCAUGGGGUGCCAGUAUCGGUGAUCUCGGACAGGGAUGUGCGUUUUACUUCCAGGUUUUGGAAGAGAUUCCAUGACGAGUUGGGCACUCGUCUGCAUUUCAGCACCGCCUUUCACCCGCAGACAGAUGGACAGAGUGAGCGGACCAUCCAGACUUUGGAGGACAUGUUGCGGGCGUGUGUUCUGGAUUUCGGUGGUAGCUGGGAUACCUAUCUUCCUUUGGCUGAGUUCUCCUACAACAACAGCUAUCACGCGAGUAUCGACCGCCCUCCCUUCGAGAUGUUGUACGGACGGAGGUGUAGGACCCCGAUAUGCUGGGGUGAGGUUGGCCAGAGAGUUAUGGGAAGCACCGAAGUGGUGCUCAAGACGACUGAGAGGAUACAGCAGGUCCGGAGCAGGCUUCAGACUGCUCAGAGUCGACAGAAAAGUUAUGCCGACAAGCGUCGAUCCGAUUUAGAGUUCCAGGUCGGGGAUAUGGUCCUCCUGAAGGUGUCACCGUGGAAAGGCGUCAUCCGAUUCAGGAAGCGGGGCAAGUUGGGCCCGCGAUUCAUCGGACCGUUCAGGGUCUUAGCCCGGGUGGGCAAGGUAGCAUAUAGGCUGGAUCUGCCAGCCGAGCUUAGCCAGAUCCACAGCACUUUCCAUGUUUCGCAGUUGCGGAAGUGCCUAGUGGACGAUUCUGCAGUAGUACCUUUGGAGGAUAUUCAGGUUGAUGACAGCCUGAACUACAUCGAGCGCCCAGUCGCAAUCCUCGACAGGAAGUCGAAGGAUUUAAGGAACAAGAGGGUGGAGCUAGUGAAGGUGCAAUGGCAGCACCGCAAGGGUUCAGAGUGGACUUGGGAGCCGGUAGACGAGAUGAUGGAGCACUACCCCGAGCUGUUUCAGGAUCAGGCAGCAGACUUCGAGGACGAAGUCUAAAAUAAGUGGGGGAGAUUUGUAGCACCUGGUUUCCGGUAUGUGAAUUUUAUUUGAGCAUUGCCCUAAUUUAGCCUUAGACUCGGCGAGUCAUAGGGUCCGACUCGCCGAGUAGGGACGAGACUCAGGACGCGUUUUAAGUAGGCGACUCGACGAGUCCAUAUCCUGGACUCGGCGAGUCACCGCUGCGGGAUGAAACCCUAAGUUUCAAGGGUUUGCACCCUAUUUAAACCCUCAUUCCGCCCCAACUCGUCCCCAUUCACCCCCAGAACUCCCCCUACAUCGUUUUCCCUUGUUUCCUUGAGAGUUUGAGGUGUUCUUGGUGUGUUCUUGAAGGUUUUGAAGAGUAAGAGGAGUAGAUCAAGAAGAGGAGAAGGAGAUCAGCCAUCCUUGUGUCAUUUCAACAUUUCCUUUGAGGUAUAACCCGUUUUCCCCUUGAUUCUAUGCUUAAAACUUCAUUUGGGUCCUUCUUGGUCAAUUCCCCAAGUUUGCAUGUUCAUUAUAUGUUGUAAUAAGGCGUUUGGCCUUUGGAUCUAUGUAAGAUUGAGCUCCAGGAGCUCAGAUCUGUUAGCUUUUUGGCCUCAUGAGGCUUGUUAGCCCUAGAUCUACCAUUUUGAGACAUUUUGAGCCUUAUAAUCCAUAUUGGUGAAUAUCCACACGUAAAGUUGGAAACUUUACGUGUGAUUCGUGUCCUAGAAGUCCAGAUCUAUGAAUGGCAUGGUCUGGAACCGAGCAAAUCGGUAUAUUUAAGGAGUGCAUGGCGACGACUCGGCGAGUCGCAUAGGUGACUCGGCGAGUCUGGUCGCGAGUCACCGAAUUGGUCCCUUCUUCAUGUGUCGAGUUGAGCCUUGAGUCACAGGGGGUGACUCGGUGAGUUGGGAGCUGAACUCACCCAUGUUAGGACUCGGCGAGUCAAUGCCCUGACUCGGCGAGUCCAAGGCAAUCUUCAUAGCUCAAGAACAGACUCGGCGAGUUGUUCAUACAACUCGGCGAGUCUUAGCAUAAAGUGUUCAUCGGAUGAAGAUGAACUCGACGAGUUGUUCAUACAACUCGGCGAGUAGGAUGAAGGUGUUGAAUGGCAGUUAGAAGGUGAACUCGUCGAGUCAUAGCCCGACUCGACGAGUAGAACCAGGGACCCAGGACAUUGGUUUGCUAGGGACUCGGCGAGUGGUGAUCCACUCGGCGAGUCGGGUCAACUGAAAGUUGACUCCAGCUUUGGCUUAGAGUUAAUCCAGGGGUAAAAUGGUCAUUUUACCUAAAGGACAGUUAGCAGUGUUUGAUUGAGUAUGUCGUGGAAAUUGCAGCCGGAGGACUCCCGGAGCAGCAGCAGUCAGUUAGUUCCCGAUCAGUUCAGCAGCUACUUUGAGGUGAGUUACCUUCCAGUAGCGGUGGGUCUAAGGCCACAAUGCCGACCCACCAGUAGGAGUUGUAUGAUAGAUGAUUGUCUUUGUGAUAUCAUCUAAGUUCGCUAGUACCUGACAUGUUAUAUGCUAGCAUGAUAUGCUGUAUGUGAUAGUAGUAGAGUUUGGUUGUUCGGACCGAAGGGUAGUCAGACACCCCAGAUACGUCUGACAGUAUGUGACGAUAUGUAUGCAUGCUGGCUUGUUAUGUUAUAUGUGAUCGUAGUAGUAGGGGUGAAAUAGUCCCCGAGGAUCGGUUGUUAGGACCGAUGGGUAGUCAGCACCCCAGAAUGGCUUGACACGGGUAAGACGGCACCCCAGAAUGGCCGUAUGGGUAGGUCGGCACCCCAGAAUGGCCGUACCGGGUAGUCAGGCACCCCAGAAUAGCCUGGCAGUAUAUAUGUUAUGUGUUUGUAUGGUAUGCGGUACGUUGGGGGAACUCACUAAGCUUUGUGCUUACGUUUACAGUUUUGUUUUCAGGUACCUCUGCAUCGAAGGGGAAGGAGCCGGCGCGGUAGCGGCACGUCAUACACACACUCUUCGGUUUCCGCAUUUAUGAGAUUUACUGGGAUUGUACUCUGAUAUUUGAUGGGAUGUACGGUUUGGCUUUUGAGAACAUGGUUGCAAUGUGUUAUGAUGUGAACAAACAAUGUUUCUUUUUAUUUAGACAAUGUUUUUAUUUAUUAAUGUUUUCUAAAGUAAUAUC